AAUGAAGAUUUUGUGACUGAGUGGCGGACGGGUGAGUAACGCGUGGGUAACCUGCCUCAUACAGGGGGAUAACAGUUGGAAACGACUGCUAAUACCGCAUAAGCGCACAGGGUCGCAUGACCUGGUGUGAAAAACUCCGGUGGUGUGAGAUGGACCCGCGUCUGAUUAGCUAGUUGGCAGGGCAGCGGCCUACCAAGGCGACGAUCAGUAGCCGACCUGAGAGGGUGACCGGCCACAUUGGGACUGAGACACGGUCCAGACUCC
rnacentral:rRNA from 1 species